ACACACACACACGUGUUACAAUAAACAGCUCUUAUGCUUCUGUAUGAUUCUCAGUGCUUUCCAUUUGCGUGUCCACAGGUUGCUGUAAGUGGUGCUUGACUGCAGUUUGCUCUCAUUUCAAGUGGUUUGCUGUCACAAAGCCAACAGGAAGUCCGGCCAUGGUUGAGCCAACUGAAGAUGGGUUGAAGGUGGCGUCCUCGUUUCCUCUCGAUACAUGUUGGAAAAUGGAGACUUUAGCCACCAAGACUGACGUGCCUGGAAACUUCCCUUCACGGGGUUUGUGACUGAAAUGCGUGUGGUCGACGGGAAGCCUGACGAGUACGGCCUGAAUCAUUCCAUCAACACCGGACGGAGUGAAACCUUUGUUGAAAACAGAUUAUAUGGUAACGUUGCAUUUAGCUUCAGUAAACUGUGAAGUUACAGCAGCAGAUUUACAUCACGUGGCUUCACAGGAAGUAGUCUGGACCUCAGCGCUGAGGUUCAAGCAGCUCUGCUUGCAGACGGCAU